rnacentral:rRNA from 1 species
GACUACUGGGGUAUCUAAGCCUGUUUGCUACCCACGCUUUCGCGUCUCAGCGUCAGAAUCCGUCCAGAUCGGCGCCUUCGCCACCGGUGUUCCUCCCAAUAUCUACGAAUUUCACCUCUACACUGGGAAUUCCCCGAUCCCCUCCGGACCUCGAGACCCAUGGUUUCGGGCGCACUUCCUGGGUUAAGCCCAGGGCUUUCACACCCGACUUCUGGAUCCGCCUACACGCGCUUUACGCCCAGUAAUUCCGAACAACGCUAGCACCCUCCGUAUUACCGCGGCUGCUGGCACGGAGUUAGCCGGUGCUUCCUCUGGAGGUACCGUCAAACCGACAGGGUAUUGUUCCUGCCGGGUGUUCGCUCCUCCUGACAGAGCUUUACGACCCGAAGGCCUUCAUCACUCACGCGGCGUUGCUGCGUCAAGCUUUCGCCCAUUGCGCAAUAUUCCCCACUGCAGCCACCCGUAGG